rnacentral:lncRNA from 1 species
AUCAUCCAAGGCUGUGGCAUCAGGGGCAUCAUCCAUAGCUGGGUCACCAUCCACGCUGGGUCGUUAUCCACGACUGGGGCAUCCACGCCUGGGGCAUCAUCCAAGGCUGGGGCAUCAUCCACGGCUGGGGCAUCAUCCACUGCUGGAGUAUCAUCCACGGCUGGGGCAUCAUCCAC